AUCAAGUGCCUUAAGAGCAUUCGGUGGAUGCCUUGGCGCUGAGAGGCGAUGAAGGACGUGAUACGCUGCGAUAAGCCAUGGGGAGCUGCGAAUGAGCUUUGAUCCGUGGAUUUCCGAAUGGGGAAACCCGG
rnacentral:rRNA from 1 species